rnacentral:rRNA from 1 species
UGGGGAAUAUUGCACAAUGGGGGAAACCCUGAUGCAGCAACGCCGCGUGAAGGAAGAAGGCCUCGGGUUGUAAACUUCUUUGACAGGGAACGAAGACAGUGACGGUACCCUGAAAACAAGCCACGGCUAACUACGUGCC